CCGUAUGCUACGCGGAGGGACAUU
rnacentral:rRNA from 1 species